CACACAUUGAAUUUCUUCCUGUCCCCAAGUGUUUAACUCUUCCCAGUACAACCACUGCAAUGAAGUUGGAAUGUUGGUCUUUUGAUUCAACACAGCAAGGUCAAAAUGGAAAAGGUCAGGCCAUCAAGAGGAGGAAAAGGACUGAAGACUGAAGAUGAGAUGCUCUACUUCACACAGUUGCCCUCUGGAAGGACUUGCAAAGGCAGUCACUUAAAUUAAGUACAG